rnacentral:rRNA from 1 species
AGGACGAACGCUGGCGGCGUGCUUAACACAUGCAAGUCGAACGGAAAGGCCCUUCGGGGUACUCGAGUGGCGAACGGGUGAGUAACACGUGGGUGAUCUGCCCCGCACUUUGGGAUAAGCCUGGGAAACUGGGUCUAAUACCGAAUAGGACCAUGGCAUGCAUGUGCUGUGGUGGAAAGCUUUUGCGGUGUGGGAUGGGCCCGCGGCCUAUCAGCUUGUUGGUGGGGUUAAGGCCUACCAAGGCGACGACGGGUAGCCGGCCUGAGAGGGUGUCCGGCCACACUGGGACUGAGAUACGGCCCAGACUCCUACGGGAGGCAGCAGUGGGGAAUAUUGCACAAUGGGCGCAAGCCUGAUGCAGCGACGCCGCGUGGGGAUGACGGCCUCGGUUGUAAACCCUUUCAGUAGGACGAAGCGCAAGUGACGGUACCUACAGAAGAAGCACCGGCCAACUACGUGCCAGCAGCCGC